UGCUUAUGGACCACCUCCCCCGCCUCCACCACCACCACCGCCGCCUCCAGCACCUGCUUAUGGACCACCUCCCCCGCCUCCACCACCACCACCGCCUCCAGCACCUGCUUAUGGACCACCUCCUCCGCUUCCGGCGCCAGCAUAUGGUCCUCCCGCUCCGAAGAUUUCAACGACUUCCGGUCCGCAGGACGUGGCCCUGAAGGUGGUUCCGACACCCAAAGUCCGCUCCACGUGAUAAUGGUACAUACUGAAGAACACUGUCUCCGGUGCAUCGACAGUAAGACGACGGUCUUGGACAUCCAGUGCAUCAAAGUCUUUGUUUUCUAAACACGAGAAGGGAAUUUUAGUUAUGUUAGACCAUAGGCAUAGCUCGAUUGUUUUCUUACAUUGAGAUAACCGUGACGUUUAUCUAUUUCUCGUUCAUACUUAUCUAAGAUGAUAGAAAGUGCGUAAAUUACAGCAGACUUUUAUAAUUAUAUCAUAACAAGUUAUAAUUAUUUCGGAUAUAACUGCCAUGUACAAUUAUGUGUUAAAUUUUCUGGAUCGUAUAUUAACAACACUUUAAAUACAUUCGUUUAUUUAUGCGCUAGUUUGGAAGGAAAAAAUCUGGAAAAAUACAAACAACUACUGUUAGAAAUCUUGUAAUAAAACUUGUACGAUCGAUGAAGUGGCUCCAGAAACACGUUCUAGAGGAGACUUGCUUGUGAAUUAGGUCAGAAAAGUCGUCAGUCUACAGUAAAGUGAAAGUUUUGUAACAGUUUAAAACUGGGGUAAAUAAAAGUAAGAGCGUUCUAUUUCAUAGCUAUUCAGGGAAUUUCUACGGGUAUAUUAUAAUUUUACGAUCAGAAAUUUGGUUUUAGAUUUAUCUUAUUUCGUAUUUCAUAGGUUUACGGAAAUGCAUACAUAAAUAUCGCUAUGAAUAUGGUUAGUGAAAAACAAUGUAAAUAAAAUAUGUUUUUCAUUCGAGUUGAAGAAUUUUGUAAAUGUUUUAUGUAUCUAGAAAUAAAAGCAUAACAUUUUGUGUGCAA